GAUAGAUGGGGAUAUUGGGAAGAAAUCCUAUAUUGUGAGGGUGGUGAGGCCCUGAGGAGGCUGCCCAGAAGAGCUACGGCUGUCCCUGGAAGUAACUAAGGCUAGGUUGGACAAGGUCUGGGAUACUGGAAGGUGUCCCUCCCCAUGGCAGGGAUUGGAACUAGAUGAGUUUUAAGCACCUUCCAACCCAAAUCAUUCUGGGAUUCUGUGAUCUUGUCAGACCCUUUCCUUUCUUUUCAUCUCAUCCUGCCCUGUGACAUUCACAGGCCUUACCUAUCUCUGACCUUACCCUGCCUUUUCAGCUGCAGCUGCUGUGGUCCUUACCCUUGCUGGGUUCCUCCCAUGCUGGUGACCCCCCCCAUGGUCACCCUUGAGGUGCAGCUGUGCCACAAGAGCCCAGGUUCCUGAGGAUGGGAAUUAAGCACAAGCUCCACUGCUCUGCAGGGUGAAGCCCAGGAAUGGCUGUGGUGUACAGACCCCAGAGGUGUGGGUCAUGGAAGAGGCCAGCCUGACCUUCCUACAUGGACAUGGUAGGAGGUACCUGCAGCCAUGGUUACUUUUUUGGAGCUUAACAAACUAAGAGAUGGGAAAGAGAAGAGAACAAUGGAGAGGAAGAGAGACAGAUG